CAAAACAUGAAUUACUUGUCUAAAACUGUCCCCUUCUGUUGCUCCCCAGAGGGUUAAGCCAGAGCCCCAGGCGUGUCCUGGCCUGUUCGCCUCUUCCAACAAGGAGCGUCGUCGGUCAUGAUGGCGGCAGCAGAGUGACAGACACUCCUCCACCACCCCCGUCAUGGGCAGAGACUCCCAGCAACCACAGCGCCGGUGGGCACGGGAGGCCUCGGAGCAGCGACAGGUGCAGCAACCGUACGCCGGAGUGUCCCGAAACAGCUCCCAAACCACCACCACACCUAGGACACCCCUCAAGGGCGACUCAGACUGGAUCCAAGAGACCUCACGGCCAGAGGAGGUGACCGGGGGCACAGAGCACAGGACCGGAAGUGCGGAGUCCUGGAUUCCAGUCUCGAUUCUGCUACUGUCUGCGCUACCCUGGGGACGUCAGCUGGCCUCUGUCAGCCUUCUUUCCUCAUAUGCACAGUGAAGAUUAGACAGUGUCCAAGGCCCUUUCAGCUCCCCGAUCUGAAUCUGGACCUCUUGGACAAUGCUAGGCUGGGAAGGAAACCCCACUCAUCUGCCCCUGCCGACGCUGCCCCCACAGCUGUGGGGAACCUGCCCCAGGGUCCACAGGGAGGGCUCAGGCCCAGCCCACCCGGGAGGCACAGCUUCCAGAUACAGGCAGUUCAGGAAAGCCACCGUGACCCCCGGCUCUCAGCCCACUGCUGAAAUGCAAGGCACCAGAAACUAAAAUGGAACUUAUUCCUACAAAAAAAUAAGCCUCCAGGUCUCCCACACCAUCAACCCUCAAGCGAUUGGAAAACUGUUGAGAAUCCGGCCUAUGUCACAGGGGGACGCAGAGCUAAGGCUGAUUUGCUGAAAUGCACGGAGCCGGGCUGCAGGUUCAACUCCACCCCACACCUCCCUUUCCCCUCCUCUCUGACCCUCCUGCCCUGCCCCCUUCAGAUUCCAGUACCUUAACAUACAUCUGAAUUCCUUCCCCACCCCCUGCCCCGCAGUGCGGGGACGACCUAGUGUGUCCUGUGGGGCGAGCUCUCAAGGUCACCCUCGCCAGCAGCCCCCGCGCCUACGGACACAUCCACAGCACACCUUCGCAUUCCUGCACACACCCUCUUUCCAAACAAUGCCCCGAGUGCUCCAGGCUGACCACCUCCUUUCUGCCCCAGGCUGAGGCUGAGGGGCCCUAACAAGGGACAGUCCCCUGCCCCCCACAGUGUGCUCUCCGGGUCUCCCAAAGAGCCUGCAGCCCCUCCCUGCCCCAAGUCCUCCACAAUUCAGCAAUCCUGUGAUGAAUGUAAACAGUAUGUCAAGAUAGCAAGACUGCAAAGUGAUAUGCAACUGUGAAUCCCACUCACGGCAAAGUCACAGGUCUGCCAAUGCUACCUGUUGCCUUCACAACUAAAGAUGAUGCUAAAUUCCCGUUAAAGGUAGGUGAAAAAUAAAGAUGUUACUUUUUUUUCCCCAGCUAAGAUUUACAAACCCUCCGAAUUCUACCCACAGAGGCCUUGGUGCCCAUGGACCCAGUUAAGAAUCCAAGCCCUCAGGUAAUCCACCACCUCUGAGCUCAGGCGAGAGAACUGCAGAUGAUCAACUUUCCUGUUUGCAUUGGUCCUGUGGAAUUCUCAGACACCUUCCUCCCCCAAAUUCACACCCAGCACUUCCCAACCCCACAGGAUCUGAGGUUUGGAAGGGGACCGGCAAACCAACCCUCCUGCAAAGGACCCCAGGAAGCCUCCAUUGGAUCUAGCUACCAUGUCAUUCAAAAAAUACCAAGGGGGAGGUGGGCUCUCCGGAGGCCCCCUGGGAAUUUGGAACUUAGCCCCCGACUCUUGCCAGUCUAUGGAAUGAGGGGACUGAUGCCCCAGCUGCAAACCCAGAAUAUCAUCAUCAAGACCCCCCCGUUGGUGAGGAAAUGGUGUUUCCUAGCACAGCAUUCUAGUGCUUGGAAUCUGAUCUUUGUGGACAAGAGCCUGGGGAAGAAGGAACUGUACUGCUUCAGGGUUUUCAUGUCCUAUAGAAGGUCCUGCAUCAGAAAACUCUUCCAUACAGUCGACACCCACUCUCCAUUUUUUUUUUAAGUUCCUUCUCUUCAAUUUCCUCUGAUACAUCAGCUUGGAAGUUCUUUAAAGCAAUGGCCUCGCCCUGCCGUCCCCACACCCCCAACAGCACGGAGCAAAGUACAGUCUGGGGCACUCCUAAAGUUGUACUUGAUGGAUCAGUGCAUCGAUGGUUGGCCGCUGCAGUCGGCCGUGGAAAAAGGGAGAAGGGAGAUAGCCCGGGACCCUCCAGGCAAGCGGGGUAGGAGAUCGUUCCUGAACUUUCUUUCUCGACUCUCCUCCCCGCCCACGGGGAAAGGUGUUCGCCUCCACCAGGCGACGGUGGGGUGGCGGGAGCAGGGGACUGCACGCUAGCCCGGAAUGCGCCCUGAAAUCGGACCUCUAGACUUUCUCUAAAAGCC